GGUGGCUCAGUGGUAGAGCACUUGCCUUGAACUCAUGAAGCCCUGGGUUCAAUUCCUCAGCACCA
rnacentral:tRNA from 1 species